rnacentral:tRNA from 1 species
GUCCGCGUAGCUCAGCAGGAUAGAGCACAGGAUUCCUGGUUUUCAAAUUGGGCGUCAUGAUGGGAAACCGCAUGACGGAUCCGCUCAAAUUCGGGGAACGCUCUGACCGCGCGGUCGUGCCGAUCCCGAGCCAAGCCCGGCGCCUGCCGGGACGGUGUAGAGACUGGACGGGCGGCACCUGUCGGCCUUCGGGCCCAGGGUGAAGGGACAGUCCAGACCACGAACGCCAUCGACGAUGGCGGCGGCGAAAGCCGAAGUGGGAUGAAUCCUGGGGCCGUGGGUUCGAAUCCCGCCGCGGACACCA